CAAAUGUAUAAAUAUAUUAAUAUCUUCCUAAAUGGUAAACCAAGUGAAAAUUAAAUGAAUAUAUGUUAUUUAAACUGAUACAUAUAAUACACAAGCCUGACAACUUCCAAAGAAGUUAUUCUAGAUAAUAAAUAUUAUUUCUAAGUUUCAUUCUGGAGUUACUACUAAAUACAAUAAAAAUUCAUAUAUUUUCAUUUUCAAAAGACUGAUUAUUAUGUUAAAAGCAACAUUUUAUAAGGAGAUUUAUGAACUUUCUCAAGAAUGAUUCCAGUCUUAAAAUGUUUUACACAAGAAAACAUGUUUCAUCUACAAAAGACUGGAAUCAAAUAGGCCAAAUUAAGAAUUAAGAACAAAGCUUUUGACAAAUGCAGCUAAGAUAGUCGGGGUACUUUCAUCAAAUAAAAUGAUUUAAUAAUCUCUUAAAUUAUUUUUUUUUUUAUACCACUAUAAUAACUGAUAAAAUUUUUAAUAAAAAAACAUUUAGUUAGAAAGUUCACAUAUAAUAUGGUAUAUUUUUCAAGUCAAGACCACAUCUUUUUCUUGAUAUCCAACUCAUGAUUUAUUUUAAUGGAAGGAAACCUUCAUACAAAUUUGAACAGAUAAUUAGUUAUGAGCUAUCCUAACAAGAAAUACAGUAGUGUAAUUUCAGAUAGGUUCAUACAACAAAAAACAUACAUUUUGGUUUAUGAUAGCAUUGUUUGCAUGUAGCAUUUCCUGAAAUUGCAAUAAUAAAUCUCCCAUUUUUGUCCAUUCAGGGCAUUGUGCAACAAUCUUAACAAUAAAUGCACACAAAAAUGUAUGGGCUAUUCCAGAAAAAAAUGUAUGGGCUAUUCCAGAAAAAAAUGUAUGGGGGUUGGGGGGUUGGAAGGCACAUUGUAUUAACAAUACAUGGGUGAUGGGUAUCAGAGCAACUUUUCACACUAUAAUGCACUAUAAUACUCAAUUACAAUUGUCUGGGUGGCGGGUGCUGAUAAAAACUGCCUUUCAACCCCCCCCCCCCAUACAUUUUUUUCUGGAAUAGCCCCAUGCUAUAUAAUUCAUUAUUUCACUUUACCUGUAAUAUAGGGAGAGGAAAUUUAGAUUGUUUUAAAGUUAUGUUAUAAAAUGAUAACAUACAUGUAUGUGCUCAGUUGAUACAAAGUUUCACAAUCUUGAUGCAUAUUCUGACUCACUAUUGUCGCCGUCAGCUGAAAUUCGUAGCGGUUAUCGUUAAAAAUAAUCUAAACUAUCAAUCGCGUUCACUCGAGAUAUAGUUUUUCACAUUCCAUUCAUAAAUCGCAAAAAGAAAAACCACUACUGACCUACCUUUUAAGUGAUCACACUGUAAUAAUCCUGACCUUCACUUUUUCAUAGACGAUUUUGAAUGGUGGAAUCAGCCAUUGUUUUUACCGGAAGUGUUUCCGUGGAGUUCAAUUUCAUAAAAUUUGCAUAAAGCGCGGGAAACCUUAUCACAUCAAUGAAAGGAACAUUUCAGGAAACUGCGUACAGUGACGAAUGUCAUAUGUAAACAAAUGAUCCUCAUAGAAACGAAGAUGGCGGAAUUACAAUGGAAAAUAUUCUGGAAAAUGUGAAGGUCAGGAUUAUUACAGUGUGAUCACUUAAAAGGUAGGUCAGUAGUGGUUUUUCUUUUUGCGAUUUAUGAAUGGAAUGUGAAAAACUAUAUCUCGAGUGAACGCGAUUGAUAGUUUAGAUUAUUUUUACCGAUAACCGCUACGAAUUUCAGCUGACGGCGACUAUAGUUUUGCAUAUAUUGAGUCCAGACAGAUUUUAAUUAGCCACGAACUCAUAAACUCUCCUCAGUAAGAUCCCUUGGAAAUAUCUCAUUCACAUGUUUAAUGUAUACAGCAACAAUUUCUCAGUCUUCAUUGGCAUCAUCCUUAAUUACAAAUUUGAGACAAAAUGUUCUAUACAUGUAGGUUUGCAAAAUUACAACCCAGCGUUCUGUAAAGCAGUGUUCUCCCCAGAGCCUUUUAGCAUCAUUGAUUUUGUGAUGCUAUAUUGAUAGAAUGUGAUACUAUAUUUUCUAGAAACAAGAUGGUAUGUCAUAAUUCCCUGGUUACCAAGUUUGAGGAUAACACUGAUUAAUCUAUAGAUAUACAAUAAGUUAAUAAAUAGAUAAGCAAAUUACACAAGGCAAGGAGUUUAAAAUAUCUAAAACAGAUUUUUUUUUAUACUUUACCAUUUAUUCUGGUGAUAAUUCAAUUAUAAUCAGUUUUUAAUGAUUGUUAAUCAAAUUUAAGCACUAUUAAGGGGGCUCGCGGGUCUAAAUCAAUUUCUUUUAUUUAAAUCUUUCAUUUAAUAUAGGAUUUUGCUACAUUUUUCUAUAAAUGAACUUUAUCUUAAACUUAAUAGAAAAAUGAAAUAAAAAAAUGUGGUCACUAUUCAUUUACGCUAACAAUCUGCCUUCGAAAGAAGCAUACAUUUUUGUUAAUGUCCUU
rnacentral:lncRNA from 1 species